UGGAGGUGGGGAGAGAAUUCUGUAGCUGCACAGUAAACAGGAACAUUUCCUGCUCCAGAUCUACCCUUGAAUACUCCAGUUUUCCUCUUUUUUUUUUUUUAUUGGUGAAUGCAAGCAAUGUUCUGCUUCGAUCAAAUGCCAACAAGAUUGUCAAGAAGCCAACAGGCCCCUCCACUUCUGUGCACGACAUUUAAACAAAUUAAAUCAAGCUCAGGGAAGACCAAAAUGUUUGACUUUUGCUGGACUGGGAGGUUGUAAUCAACUAAAGCACUGGCUAUGUCUUCUACCCUGCUGCAGGAUCCUGCUCUGCUCCUGCUGCAGCCAGAAUUCCAUCAGUAAUUGCAAUCAGGUGGGAGCCUUCACCAGCUACUUGCUUUUCUCCUCCUCCCACAGAGGAUCAUUCCCAGGCCAUCAGAGAGAGCUCUGCUAUUCUGCACCGGGGUGGUGAAAAUCCUGGCACUGCAGGGGCAGCCUUUACUCCACUGAAAAUUAACAGAAUGUCACUGCUCUGUGCUCCAGGACCCAGAUCACACUCACACUUAAAUCCCACAAUCUGAUCUCCCACUGGAGAAUCCUGCACUAAAACUGGAAAUUGUUUCACAUUACACUUUUCAGAUGUCCAGGAAGGAUCUUCAAACAUCUGUGCUUUCCCUGCCUUAAAACAUGAAGACUAAUGAGUGAAAGCUGAUUUUUCUACUGUUAUGCCAAAUGAGAGCUGACUUUGGACUCCAGUUUCAGAGGUGUGUGAAUCACAACAGUCCCGUUCUCAUUCACAUGCAAAACAACGCAGCUCCCAUUAACACCACCGGGAAGACAAACGAGCCUGGAAAAGGAGGGGUUUUUUCAACCAAAAUAACAUCAUGUGAAUCUACUUUUAGCCUUUAAUGGCAAAGCAACACCGCUGGAGGAUCUUUUACCGUAGAUGUUCAAAAUUACAGCUGAAAUAACACCUGCACAGCCGUUUUAAAAAAGUAAAACGUCUUGUAUAAUUUUAAAGCUGGUUUUCCUACCUGCUCCUUGCUGCCCAAAAAGUAUAGCUGCAGUAUUCUGUAUGCCCUCCCCAUGCAAUAUGAAUUCAGAUGGUGGCUGACAGGGGGAGAUUUGGAAGUAAGAUUUAUCUCAAAGCAUGUUUCCAUGUUUACACACUCAGCAUCGUUUUUCAUUUCCACCUUUAACCAUUAUUCCUCCCUGGUACUAGAAGUCAGGUUCUUAAUUAUGUGGAAUUUUUCAUUGUAAUGAAAGGAAACAUAAAGAUCCUUGUGAACACAUUCACAUUUAUAACUUAUUUACAGUGUGUUUUCAGAGUUCCAAUAAUUCAUAGUGCUAAAGGUGGAAGACUCCACACACUAGCUGCAGUAUUAAUGCUUUGAAAAAUUAUUAGCCAAACUAGGAAUUUUAUUAGUCAGCUUUUCAUGUUAGAUGUGCUCUGCUGGGAUUUUGCUAUAUCAAUGCUUACUUCAUGUUCUGACAAUUUUUCUAACUAGCCUGAGAUAUUAUUGUAUUAGAUGAUGAUUUACUCAUUCUAUUAAGCCCUGACAAUAAAUACAUUUUAUGCUAAAUUAGUUCUUCCUUAAAAAUACUUUCUUCCCGAUAGAGAAAAAAAAAAAGAAAAAAGAACUCUGUUCCAUUUAAGACAGAAAAGUAAACGACUGCAAGAUCUGAAAGAUAAGAAAUGUAUUAAUUGUCCACCCUUUUCAGGAAAGAAAUAUUAUGUUUUUUAAAGUGAUAAUGAGCUUCCUUUGAGGGCAAACUCACAAGGGGAUCUCCUAUCUGUAAGUUCUCCUGCCAAAGAGCAGAGUGUUGCAGGAAAGUCUCAGAGCCUCUUUUGGGGGUCGUUUCCAAUGUAAAGAGGAGCAGCAUUUGACUGUUAGUUGUGCCAUAAGAAACUGGGAGUCGUGCUCUUGACACUCUAGGCAAGACCUAUUUGCACUGGACUCACAAAUGUUGAUCAUACUAUUGCAGCCAGGGCCAUCUGUGCUAAAACCAAACACAGCCUCCCUGAUGAAACCAGUAAAAACCACAGGUAUUUGUAAAUUGUUUUCCUAAGGGGCAGAACUAAGUGCCUACUUCCAUUGCACUACCUGCAUCAUUUUCCUGAGGAAGGUAUUACUGGCUCCUUAUUUCAGAUUACUGGCAUGUAGGCUCAGAUUUUAUCCUAUCAAAGGAAAUAUGGGUCGAUACCUGCCUUAAUCUAGAAACAACAGAGGGAAUGCCAUGCAGUGUCUGGCAAGGUAUUCAUCUUCCUAUCACAUUAGGAUUUGGAAAGGUGGCUUUCAUAUCCCACUGUAUAAUUUCUACUUUUGAGUGAUGGCUACCCAGCAAUAGAUGUCUAACCCUGCUCCUCCCUGGCUGAUGAUGUAAAACGUUGCUGCCAGACUGGUGGGAUAAUGAGAUUUUAUUUGAACGCUGGAUUUCUGAACACCCAAGGACUCACUAUCCUGACCCCUUCAGGAUAUUUUGGCAUGAACACCUCCAAAAUCAAGCACAAGAAACACAGAUCUCUUGUUCUUUGUGUCCUCAGAUGGGGCAGACACAUCUGCAGCCAGGACAAACCAAGGGUGUAAGAUUUGAUCUGUGUAAAGUCAGGCAACACUAGCAGAGAGCAAAAUCACAUUAUCAGCAUUUAAGGUUACUUAGACACUUUUCAGGGCACUUUGCUUGGUCCUCAACUUAAAUAAAUCAGUGUAACUCCACUGAUCCACCAAUUUAUGUGCCCUGUUUACUGUCUUUUGACCAAGCAUCUCAGAGAAACUUCUCACCUAUAAUUCUUGCCUCUGAUUCUGGUUUAUUCUCACGAGCAUGAACAUUUGAUAAUGCUCUGUGAUUAGAUUAGCUGAUAUUGCAGUAAUUUAUGGUCAAUAUAAGUCUGGUCUACACGCACAGAAAUUACACUGGUUUAACUAAAUCGGUUUCUAAAUCAAUUUACCUAAAUUGGAGCAGCUUCCAAGCGAGGGCACAUAAAUUGGUUUCAGAAUGGCUAAUAUCAUGUUAGCUUAAUUCAGUUUUAAGAAUGUCCACACAGGGGGGUUACAGUGCUUUUAUUAAGUUGAUUUAGAAACCAAUUUAUUUCAACCACUACUAUUUCUGUGUAGGCCAGGCUACAGAGACAAGUGCAAACUGCAAAAUGCCACAUUAAUUGUCACCAUUACUGCUCCCAGGAACUAAAGAAGGAAUUAGUUUGAAUAAAGUUUUCAUUUGUUAAUGAACAGCACACUGGGCCAGAAUAAAGCUAAUAAACAGUGUUUUGUUUUCA